AAGGAUUUCUGAAAUUUGGUUUCAGGGUUUAUCUAAGUCAGCUAUACCGUGUGAUGCGUUUUCAGAUUGAUCACUUGACAACUUCCUGUUUACCGAACACUUGUAUGAUUUUACACAUGAUAGCCAAGUUGAAAAUUUUCGUCACAUUUUUCUCAGGAACUACAAUACAAGGAUUUCUGAAAUUUGGUUUCAGGAUUUAUAUAAGUCAGCUAUACCGUGUGAUGCGUUUUCAGAUUCAUCACUCGACAACUUCCUGUUUACCGAACACUUGCAUAUUUUUACACUAUUAAUAUUAUCCACUUGCGGC
rnacentral:lncRNA from 1 species